ensembl:lncRNA
CGAAAACAUUUAUUAUCUCUACAACUCCCCGAAUCGCUCAGAAUUCACAGGAAUCACGAUUUCCACGGAGCCUGACAUCCCCUAUGUUGGGGGCGGGGCUUAACCUAAGGCGGAGCAGCGAUUCGCUGCCAGUUUGAUUGACGGUCGCCGUCGUCCAAUCGCAGCUGCGCUCGCGGCGUCGGCUCUCCGCUGCUCCGUGGCAUCAGGGUUACGGGAACAUGUCGGCCUCCGGGAGCCUCUGGACCGGCGCGCUGAUGGAGGCGCGCGCGUGAGCGUCGGGGGGGAUUUUUCCGCCGCGUUUCCCGCCUUCCGCUCCCGCCUCUGCGCGGCGGCCUCGCGGCUCUGACGGCAGCUGCCUCCGCGCGCCGCCGGGACGCUGGCCGGCUAGCUCCGCCCGCCCGCAGCGCCGCUCCAGCCCCGCGGGUCGAACCCGCGCGCGCGGCCGGAGGAGAGGAGCGCCGCGGGGCGCGUGCGCCCGGUACCGGCCCGGGAGCCGGACGGAGCCCGCCCGCUCCGCCUCAGAGGAGCCGCCGACCUCCGCUCAGGAGCUGAAGUUUGAUUGGCCGUCAGACCGGAUCAUCUCGUUAGGCCACGCCCUCCAUCAUUGACCACGGCGGCUGCUGGGAGACCUGAACCAGGAUAACUUCAGGCACUCCAGGCUGCCGCUCCACCACAGCUCCAUCUUCCUGUGUUCAGGAGAAGGAAGCGGAGGGGGGGCCUGGGAAAGGUCGGAGGUCACAGAACGGGGUCACCUGCCCAGCAGGUGUUUCUGCUGGGUCCUAAUGCCCGUCAGCUCGGUUCUGUUUUCACGGACCUGGACGCUAAUGGAUCUGCAGCUCCGCUUCAGAGUUUUGGACCAAAGGAUCGGCUCGGUUCCCGCCACACCUGAGGCGUACCUGGCGGGUGAGGUGGUUUGACUCCACCCCCCGAUGAGCUUUGGGGAUGCCCCGACACAGGAAGUCCAGACUCCCGUGCUGGUCCGCCGACAGACCGCAGUCCUGGACUGAAGGCCGCGUUUGCCUCUGAACGGGAGCUUUUUUACUGAGCCGGUUCCGUUUGGACCGCCGGUUCCGGAUGUCGUGUCAGGACGUGAGAAGCCGCGGGUCUCUCUCUGCCGCCGGAGCGUCCGGCGCUGGUGUGAGGACGGGAUUCUGUCGGAGCUAAGAGAGGAAAAGUGCAGAGAAGACAGCGGCGUCGGAACCGAUUACCCUCCAGCGGGUUCAGGCUCUGCCCCCCCCCCCCCGACCCGUCAGUCCGGAUCCCUCAGGGACCGUCUCUGACGGGAUCACACUCUCCUGGACGUUUUCUUUUCGUUGUGUUUUCAGAACUUGAGUCGGAAUUCUUCCCGUCUCAGAACCGGGUUUGGGUUCUGACGUUCCGCUGGGCUGCAGGUGUUGUUCAAACACCUUCAUCUGGAUAAUCUCUGGCUUAUGUCCCCCCCCAACACCGGACUUUCCCGCCACAGAGACCCAUAAUCUGCUUCUAAUCUGCCGGAUCGGGAUCAGGAUUGAUCCAGGCUGCUGAAUGGGGUGAGGCUCCGCCCCCCCAUGUCCUGAAGAGGAAGCCUCCAUCCUCAGUUUACCCCCCCCAGUGUCUUCAUCCCGGCUGUCAGCCGGUGGACACGC